rnacentral:hammerhead_ribozyme from 1 species
AUCUAGAUGACGAGUCCCAAAUAAGACGAAACUCGUGUCCAUGAU